UACGUAGGGUGCAAGCGUUGUCCGGAAUUAUUGGGCGUAAAGAGCUCGUAGGCGGUCUGUCACGUCGGCUGUGAAAACCCGGGGCUCAACCCCGGGCCUGCAGUCGAUACGGGCAGACUAGAGUUCGGCAGGGGAGACUGGAAUUCCUGGUGUAGCGGUGAAAUGCGCAGAUAUCAGGAGGAACACCGGUGGCGAAGGCGGGUCUCUGGGCCGAUACUGACGCUGAGGAGCGAAAGCGUGGGGAGCGAACAGG
rnacentral:rRNA from 1 species